rnacentral:tRNA from 1 species
GAUAUAGAACCGUUUAUUUGCAAUAAACAUCUUGUUACUCAUAGUAACCUUAUCCA